rnacentral:rRNA from 1 species
GAUGAACGCUGGCGGCGUGCCUAAUACAUGCAAGUCGAGCGAACAGACGAGGAGCUUGCUCCUCUGACGUUAGCGGCGGACGGGUGAGUAACGCGUGGAUAACCUACCUAUAAGACUGGGAUAACUUCGGGAAACCGGAGCUAAUACCGGAUAAUAUCUUGAACCGCAUGGUUCAAUAGUGAAAGACGGUUUUGCUGUCACUUAUAGAUGGAUCCGCGCCGCAUGAGCUAGUUGGUAAGGUAACGGCUUACCAAGGGAACGAUGCGUAGCCGAGCUGAGAGGGUGAUCGGCCACGCGGGAACGUAGAGACGGACCAGACUCCUACGGGAGGCAGGAGUAGGGAAGGUUGCGGAAUGGGCGAAAGCCGGACAGAGCAAGGAAGCGUGAGUGAUGGAGGUCGUCGGAUCGUAAAACGCUGUUAUGAGGGAAGAACAAAUGGGUAAGUAACUAUGCACGUCUGGACGGUACCUAAUCAGAAGGCCACGGCUAAUUACGU